rnacentral:rRNA from 1 species
AUUGAACGCUGGCGGCAUGCCUUACACAUGCAAGUCGAACGGUAACGGGCCUUCGGGUGCCGACGAGUGGCGCACGGGAGAGUAAUACAUCGGAACGUGCCCGAUCGUGGGGGAUAACGAGGCGAAAGCUUUGCUAAUACCGCAUACGAUCUACGGAUGAAAGCAGGGGACCGCAAGGCCUUGCGCGGACGGAGCGGCCGAUGGCAGAUUAGGUAGUUGGUGGGAUAAAAGCUUACCAAGCCGACGAUCUGUAGCUGGUCUGAGAGGAUGAUCAGCCACACUGGGACUGAGACACGGCCCAGACUCCUACGGGAGGCAGCAGUGGGGAAUUUUGGACAAUGGGCGCAAGCCUGAUCCAGCCAUGCCGCGUGCAGGAUGAAGGCCUUCGGGUUGUAAACUGCUUUUGUACGGAACGAAAAGCCUUCUUUUAAUACAGGAGGGUCAUGACGGUACCGUAAGAAUAAGCACCGGCUAACUACGUG